GCCGGGCAUGGUGGAGCGUGCCUGUUAUCCCAGCUACUCGGAGGCUGAGGCAGGAGAAUCGCUUGAACCCGGGAGGCGGAGGUUGCAGUGAGCUGAGAUCGUGCCACUGCACUCCAGCCUGGGUGACAGAGUGAGACUCCGUCUCAA
rnacentral:SRP_RNA from 1 species